CCUACGGGUGGCUGCAGUGGGGAAUAUUGCACAAUGGGCGCAAGCCUGAUGCAGCCAUGCCGCGUGUGUGAAGAAGGCCUUCGGGUUGUAAAGCACUUUCAGCGGGGAGGAAGGCGUUAAGGUUAAUAACCUUGUCGAUUGACGUUACCCGCAGAAGAAGCACCGGCUAACUCCGUGCCAGCAGCCGCGGUAAUACGGAGGGUGCAAGCGUUAAUCGGAAUUACUGGGCGUAAAGCGCACGCAGGCGGUCUGUCAAGUCGGAUGUGAAAUCCCCGGGCUCAACCUGGGAACUGCAUUCGAAACUGGCAGGCUAGAGUCUGGUAGAGGGGGGUAGAAUUCCAGGUGUAGCGGUGAAAUGCGUAGAGAUCUGGAGGAAUACCGGUGGCGAAGGCGGCCCCCUGGACAAAGACUGACGCUCAGGUGCGAAAGCGUGGGGAGCAAACAGGAUUAGAUACCCGUGUAGUC
rnacentral:rRNA from 1 species